rnacentral:rRNA from 1 species
UACGGGGGGGGCAAGCGUUGUUCGGAAUUACUGGGCGUAAAGGGCUCGUAGGUGGCCGACUAAGUCAGACGUGAAAUCCCUCGGCUUAACCGGGGAACUGCGUCUGAUACUGGACGGCUUGAGUUCGGGAGAGGGAUGCGGAAUUCCAGGUGUAGCGGUGAAAUGCGUAGAGAUGUGGAGGAACACCAGUGGCGAAGGCGACUCUUUGGCCUGUAACUGACACUGAGGCGCGAAAGCGUGGGGAGCAAACAGG